ensembl:ncRNA K06C4.20 ncRNA
CCCUUGGAAGAUUUUUCAAAAUAUUUCCAAACUGGAAAGUAAGAGCUAGAAGAGAUGAGAUUCCGACAGUUGUUCUUGCCGGCAGAGCUUUUGGUUCCAUGCAGAAUGAAACCCAAGAUACAAUGAUUGUAAGAUAUGUUGGAACAUAGG